GUACCAAUCGGUGAGACAAUGACGAGUUAUGGAGAGCCUCAACGGGGGACGGGGAAGGGGUUCGCCAUUUACUCAUUAUCUUUGAGCCCAACAAGGCCACCAUUGGUAGUUAUGAACUUAUGACGUCUCUAUGUCUAAAACCUCUCCAAAAGGAUUCAUCUUCCCUUUCUAUUUUCUUUUGAGUCCGGUUAAUGCGUUUCUACCCUUUUAAGGAAGCAAGCGUGUAUUAUAUUACAGUUCUUCUAUAUACCACCGGGGUUGCGUCCCCUCCGCGUCCCCGGCUGAUGUGGCAUAUGCCAUGUCAUCUAACUUUUUUUUUUUAAAAAAAAAAAAAAGAAGAAAAAGAAAGCGGGAACUAAAAUGAAAUGAAAUGGGUAUUGUUUUCAUUUUUGCGUGGGUUUCCAUUUUCGUCUGAGCCACUGUCGAGCUUCUUCUCCUCGUUCGGUUGUUGCGGUUGCCGUCGUGGGAUAGUCCACAUCUCUAAGUCGCGGUCAUCUUCGUGGGUGAGAGAGCUACUGGUCGCGGUCAUCGUUGUAGGGGAGAGAGCGACUGGUUCAUCUGGUCCUUGGCUAUUGAAGAGAAAGCAAAUUACAUGAAAGAUGCACUUUGGGUUAGAUGGACCACAACUGGUGCACUAUGAGAUGGAUGGAUCACAACCGCUGCAAUGAUAUGAUACAGUCUUAACACUAGUUACCACUUGUUCUGUUUGAAUGUAAUUUAUGUAAUAUUUUGAACUUUCAAUUUUGUGUAUUGUGUAAUAUGGAUUUAAGGAAUUUUUCCAUGGCUUUAAUGUAUAUUUGUGGCUUGAAUGUAAUCCAGGGAUUUUUUUGAGGAUUUAAUAUAUUUUUGUGGAUUUAAGGAAUUUUUCCCGAAAUUUAAUGUAUAUUUGUGGUUUGAAUGUAAUCCAGAGAUAUUUUUGUGGAUUUAAGGAAUUUUUCUUGGGAUUUAAUGUAUA